rnacentral:rRNA from 1 species
GUGCCAACGGUAAACGCUGGGUAGCCAUGUGCGGAGUGGAUAACCGCUGAAAGCAUCUAAGUGGGAAGCCCACCUCAAGAUGAGUGUUCUCAUGGCAUAAGCCAGUAAGGUCACGGGAAGAACACCCGUUGAUAGGCUCUACGUGGAAGCGCAGUAAUGCGUGAAGCGGAGGAGUACUAAUAGACCGAGGGCUUGACCAUAAAA